GCGCAUUGCCUUAUUUUUGGUGAGGCAUACACGAAGAAAUUAAGUAGCAUCAUUUUUAAGUUCUCAGACCAUAGCGACUGAUGGGUACAAAAGCUUUUACUGCAAAUAAUAAACUCAACACCCAGAUUAAACAUAGGGUACACAAUUUUAAACCAUACUGGUUAAGCCCUAGUUAAGUUGUAGCAAACCAGAUCAGUUUACCCUAAUUAAUCUGCAUUACAUAACAUUCUAACAGAUGUUUGCACAACAAGACUGCAAGGUACCCUGAGUUUAACUUUGCAGCCACUGAUGAGGUGACAAUCUAGAUUGCAGAAAAGUUUAAUUCGAGUAAAUGGCCACCUGAUUUGAAGGAGGCGGUCGAAGAGCUGCAGGGAAUACGUAGACGCCCUCCUAUAGAGGUUAGUUCUUGGAUGAUGUUUUUGCCGAAUAGCAACGUCCCCGGACAAGAGCCUGAAG